GCCCUACGUGGGGGAGGAGGGAGACGGCGCUUGCAGCGAGCCAAGGCCCAUGUGGGCUGGCGCCGCUGGAUGGUGGCCGCGUUCGUGGGGCCAACGCGCAGGAUCUGCAAGCUCGGGGAGUUGCCCGCGUGGCUGCUGUUUCCCUCAGUGCCCUCUUGUUCUGGACUCUGCUCAGGUGCAUUCUUGGCCCCGGCAGCCAUUGGCCAAUCAGAGCUGCUGGCCCGGGGGCUGAGCCUUCCUCUGGCGCCACGUGCUAGUCCUAGCGGGCCGCGCUACCGCGACCCCAAAGGACCUCUCUGAAGCUGCAUCCUUCCUAGGGUAUUUAGCGGGAAGGCUCCCAGCGCCUCCUGGACCCUGGUAAAAGACAACAUUCUUGGAAUUUUUCAGAAGGCGUUGCAGAAGAGUGUUUGGACGUUUCCAUCAGCUCUCUGAAAUCAUCUUUGGAGACCCCAUACCAGGGACCCCCAAGUCACCUCAGAGGCUAAUUGAUUAUCUGAGCCGGUGGGAUGGCUCAGCAGAUAAAGGCAUUGCUGCCAAGUCGGAUGAGUUCAGUCAGAUUCCCGGACCCAUGUGGUGGACGGAGCGAACCUACUCUGUUCUUCUGUUGUCCUCUGGUCCCGCCCCACUAAAUAAACAGAUACUGUCUCCUUA